AGGUAGAUACCAACACAGUAAUACUGGGAGACUAAUGUUCUCCAUUCUCAUCAAUAGGUAUGUCAUACAGACUGAAAUUCAUCAACAACAACAAAACAACUUCAGAAUUGAACAGAUCAAACAUACAAACAACAGAAUAUUCCACUCAAUGGUUUCAGAAUGCACAUUCUUCUCAUCAUCCCAAGGAACUAACUCCAAAGCAGACAAUAUUUUAGGACACAUAGAAAGCUUUGACACAUGAGAAAAUUAAGAUAUCUUCCUAUAUUUUAUCUGAUCCCAAUGAAAUAAAAAUACGAAUCAAUAAAAAGUGAAAACACAGGGCAAAACCCAUUCCUAUUAGCAUCAAUUAGUUGUACAAGGUUUCACUUUUACACAUCCAUAUAUGCAAACAAUGUAUAUUCAUCAGACUCACCUUCUUCAUCAUUCUAUCUCAUCUUUCCUGUCUCCUUCCCAAGCUAGUCUUGGCAAGCUUCAUUGUUUCACUUCACACAUGUACUUAUAGUGCAUAAAGGUAAAUAAAGUUCUAUAUUCAUACUCUUUUAUGUUUUGCAUUCAUUAUCUCCCUCUCACUAGUACACCAAUCUCAGACAGGGCCUGUUUUAUAUUCCUGACAUUCCCUUUUCAGUGUAUAUUCCGGACAUUCUCUUUUUAUUUUUAUUCAAAGAGAUUCCACUGGGAUAUUUCACACAUGCAUAUACAGUUCUUUAAUCAGAUUGACCUUUCAACUCUUACUUUCCCUAUACCUUCUACCCCUAUUAUUCAACUAUUUUCAGCGAGUUUCAUUUUGCUAUCAUCAUUUGCUAUCAUCAUUCACAGUUGCAAUGUAUUUCAAUACUGUCAUUCUAUAACACUCUCUUUACCCUUACAAAAUCCCCUCAGAUAGUUCCACAAUUACAAACAUGAUGGUGUGUCUGUGUGUGUGUUUACAUAUAUGUUAGGACACAGACCAGGACAGAAAGACCAUGCAUGUGAAGACACUUGAAAAAAGACAGCUAUCAACUAGCCAAGUCAGAUCCUCAGAAAACCCCUUAAUACUUGCAUUGUAGCCUCCAGAACUGUG